rnacentral:tRNA from 1 species
CAGGGAGACAACAAAAUGUUUAAUAUUAUUAUUUUGUCACCUUAGGUCGAUCGGUAUCUCACGUUCUUAAUUUAUUAAGAAUUUCAUUUCCUAAGUUUUUCUAGGUCACACCCAUUAUUUUUCCUGGGCCAUUAGCUCAGGUGGUUAGAGCGCACCCCUGAUAAGGGUGAGGUCCCUGGUUCAAGUCCAGGAUGGCCCAUAUCUCUAUGUUGGGGGUAUAGCUCAGUUGGUAGAGCGCCUGCUUUGCAAGCAGGAUGUCAGCGGUUCGAGUCCGCUUACCUCCACUGAUUACCACCUCUUCCAUAAUCUGUAGAAAGGAAAAUUUUUGAGUUGUGAUCAUAAAUCUGAACGAAUCUAGCUUCCUAAUGAAAUAUUAAGAUGCUGGACUCAUUGAAUUAAUUUCAUUGUUUUCAGAGAACCUUGACAACUGCAUAGAUUAUUUUUAAAGACAAUAAGCAUCUUUAUGAUGCAGAUUUAUUAUUUGUGCGAAUGCAUUAAUAACAAUUCUAUUAAGCUGAUGCUUCAAUUUUGAAGUUAUU